rnacentral:rRNA from 1 species
UACGUAGGGGGCAAGCGUUGUCCGGAUUCAUUGGGCGUAAAGAACGUGUAGGCGGCCAGAUAGGUCAGCUGUGAAAACUCGAGGCUCAACCUCGAGAUGUCGGCUGAAACCAUCUGGCUAGAGUCCGGAAGAGGAGAAUGGAAUUCCCGGUGUAGCGGUGAAAUGCGCAGAUAUCGGGAGGAACACCAAUGGCGAAGGCAGCUCGCUGGGACGUGACUGACGCUGAGACACGAAAGCGUGGGGAGCAAACGGG